AGGAAUAACUGACUCUUUUCUUGUUAUGAAAAGUAUUUAGCUACUGGUAUAACAGACCAUGGGGCUUGGAGUCAGAAAGAUUCAUUUUCCUGAAUUUAAAUCUUGUCUCAGACACUAACUGUGUGACCCUGGGCAAGUUACUUAAUUGUAUUUGACUAAAUUUCUUCAUCUGUAAACUGAGCUGGAGAAGGAAAUCACUGAUGACGGAUAUAACUACAGGCUAAAAAAUGCAUUGCUUCGGCCUGGGGAUUCCUAGUGUUAAAGAGUUGGAGAAACACAGCUGGAAGAGGAACCAGGAGGUUGGUAUACCCACCCUAGAUUCUUAAAAGUGUCCUAAAUCAGGAGAGAGCCUCUAACUCAUUUUCAUCCUAUCCCCCUCACUGUUAAUAUCUAAGGCCACCGAAGGUGGAAACCUAUUCAUCUUUCAGGAUUACGCUCUGCCAGGGAGGAGGGGUGAAGUGGUCUAAGCACCCACGUACUGACUCUGGGAGGCAGCAACAGUGGCGGAUCCCAAGACUGCUGUUGUUGCUGCAAACCGGUCUCUCUUCCUUGCAGGGUGUGCAGAGAUGGAGAAAGGGGGAGGAGAAAAAAGGGGAAGCGCCUGGGCCUUGGCCGCCAGCGGGCGGGGCCUCCAGUGCCUAACAGCUAGUUUGGUCUUUCUGCGGCUCUCGCGCACUGCGCUCGGGCAGCCGUAGCCGCAGCCGCAGUCGGAGCCGGAGCCUUCAGCCUCAGCUUCAGCCUCAGCCUCCGACUCCUGGGCGAUGUCAGUUGUUUCACGCUUCCUCUAACCCUCUGCACUAGGAGGAGGAGGUGGAGAAAGAAAUACAAGAGGAAAGGACUACGUUACAAGAGACUUUAUUGCCUUAGGAAGAGAGGUGCAUGGUAUUUGCUGCUCAGCUUCAAAACCAGGCAAUUGGUGGCUCUUCUCUGGCCCCAGUGACCAACUGGGAAAGGAAGGAAAAAGAACUGGAGACGCGCGCCCCCCCCCCCCCCCCCCACUCCCUCCAUACACGCACGCACGCACACACACACAGUUUUAAGAGAGUUUGCACAGAGAGCUGAAAAGCUUCAGCCCUUCACUCCCAGUUCCAGCCCCAGCUGUUCUGAGGCUCCGGUCGGCGUUGCUAUCCGCCUUCUCACCUCUUCUCGACUUCCUCCAGUCCCGGCCAGCCUGCAGCUCGUCAGCUUCUCCUCUCUCUACUUCCUCUUAUCAGUCCAGCUGCUUCUCAGUCCAAGAGGAGCCACCACCGCAGCAGCAGCAGCAGCAACAACAACAGCAACAUCCCCGGAACUAACAGACUGUGGCGCAACUGGUCUGGGGAGCGCAGGCCCUGAGAUCCUACCCCAAGGACCUGUCCAUUUUGUCUGGCUUAGAGCAUGCAUGAAAACUUACUUAGUCCUCCCUUAUGUCUUCUUUUGGAUAUACUCUUGUGCUUGGGGGUGAGAAAU
rnacentral:lncRNA from 1 species